CCGCGCGGCCUCGACCGGCUCCCGGCGCUCCAAUCCCUCUCCCUCGCAGGCAACAACUUCUCCGGCAAUCUCUCCCCCGGCCUCUCCCUCCUUGCCUCCCUCCGCUCCCUCGACCUCUCACACAACGCCUUCUCCGGCAAUCUCCCCGAGGACUUCCCCUUUCUCCCCGCGCUCCGGUACCUCGACCUCACAGCAAACUCCUUCUCCGGCUCUCUCCCGACAUCCUUCCCUUCCACGCUCCGCUUCCUCAUGCUCUCCGGGAACGCCUUCUCCGGCCCGGUUCCUCUCGGGUUAUCCAACAGCGCUCUGC
rnacentral:lncRNA from 1 species